GACGAACGCUGGCGGCGUGCCUAAUACAUGCAAGUAGAACGCUGAAGGAGGAGCUUGCUCUUCUGGAUGAGUUGCGAACGGGUGAGUAACGCGUAGGUAACCUGCCUGGUAGCGGGGGAUAACUAUUGGAAACGAUAGCUAAUACCGCAUAACAGUAGAUGUUGCAUGACAUUUACUUAAAAGGUGCAAUUGCAUCACUACCAGAUGGACCUGCGUUGUAUUAGCUAGUUGGUGGGGUAACGGCUCACCAAGGCGACGAUACAUAGCCGACCUGGGAGGGGGAUCGGCCACACUGGGACUGAGACACGGCCCAGACCCCUACGGGAGGCAGCAGUAGGGAAUCUUCGGCAAUUGACGGAAGGCUGACCGAGCAACGCCGCGGGAGUGAAGAAGGGUCUCGGAUCGUAAAGCUCUGUUGUAAGAGAAGAACGAGUGUGAGAGUGGAAAGUUCACACUGUGACGGUAUCUUAACAGAAAGGGACGGCUAACUACGUG
rnacentral:rRNA from 1 species